rnacentral:rRNA from 1 species
UACGUAGGGUGCAAGCGUUGUCCGGUAAUUGAUUUGGCGUAAAGAGCUCGUAGGCGGUUCGUCGCGUCGGCUGUGAAAUCCCGAGGCUCAACCUCGGGUCUGCAGUCGAUACGGGCGGACUGGAGUUCGGCAGGGGAGGACUGGAAUUCCUGGUGUAGCGGUGAAAUGCGCAGAUAUCAGGAGGAACACCGGUGGCGAAGGCGGGUCUCUGGGCCGAUACUGACGCUGAGGAGCGAAAGCGUGGGGAGCGAACAGG